GACGAACGCUGGCGGCGUGCUUAACACAUGCAAGUCGAACGGAAAGGCCCUGCUUUUGUGGGGUGCUCGAGUGGCGAAUGGGUGAGUAACACGUGAGUAACCUGCCCUUGACUUUGGGAUAACUUCAGGAAACUGGGGCUAAUACCGGAUAGGAGCUCCUGCUGCAUGGUGGGGGUUGGAAAGUUUCGGCGGUUGGGGAUGGACUCGCGGCUUAUCAGCUUGUUGGUGGGGUAGUGGCUUACCAAGGCUUUGACGGGUAGCCGGCCUGAGAGGGUGACCGGCCACAUUGGGACUGAGAUACGGUCCAGACUCCUACGGGAGGCAGCAGUGGGGAAUAUUGCACAAUGGGCGGAAGCCUGAUGCAGCAACGCCGCGUGCGGGAUGACGGCCUUCGGGUUGUAAACCGCUUUCGCCUGUGACGAAGCGUGAGUGACGGUAAUGGGUAAAGAAGCACCGGCUAACUACGUG
rnacentral:rRNA from 1 species